CAGUCGCCACGGGAAUACAGAGGGUGCGAGCGUUAAUCGGAUUUACUGGGCGUAAAGCGUGCGUAGGCGGCUUUUUAAGUCGGAUGUGAAAUCCCUGAGCUUAACUUAGGAAUUGCAUUCGAUACUGGGAAGCUAGAGUAUGGGAGAGGAUGGUAGAAUUCCAGGUGUAGCGGUGAAAUGCGUAGAGAUCUGGAGGAAUACCGAUGGCGAAGGCAGCCAUCUGGCCUAAUACUGACGCUGAGGUACGAAAGCAUGGGGAGCAAACAGGAUUAGAGACCCGGGUAGUCCCUGUCUCUUAUAC
rnacentral:rRNA from 1 species